UUACAAGUAGUCAGAGCCCGUUAAUGGGUGAUGGCGUGCCUUUUGUAGAAUGAACCGGCGAGUUACGAUUUGAUGCAAGGUUAAGCAGUAAAUGUGGAGCCGUAGCGAAAGCGAGUCUGAAUAGGGCGUUUAGUAUUUGGUCGUAGACCCGAAACCAGGUGAUCUACCCUUGGUCAGGUUGAAGUUCAGGUAACACUGAAUGGAGGACCGAACCGACUUACGUUGAAAAGUGAGCGGAUGAACUGAGGGUAGCGGAGAAAUUCCAAUCGAACCUGGAGAUAGCUGGUUCUCUCCGAAAUAGCUUUAGGGCUAGCCUCAAGUGAUGAUUAUUGGAGGUAGAGCACUGUUUGGACGAGGGGCCCCUCUCGGGUUACCGAAUUCAGACAAACUCCGAAUGCCAAUUAAUUUAACUUGGGAGUCAGAACAUGGGUGAUAAGGUCCGUGUUCGAAAGGGAAACAGCCCAGACCACCAGCUAAGGUCCCAAAAUAUAUGUUAAGUGGAAAAGGAUGUGGCGUUGCCCAGACAACUAGGAUGUUGGCUUAGAAGCAGCCAUCAUUUAAAGAGUGCGUAAUAGCUCACUAGUCGAGUGACACUGCGCCGAAAAUGUACCGGGGCUAAACAUAUUACCGAAGCUGUGGAUUGUCCUUUGGACAAUGGUAGGAGAGCGUUCUAAGGGCGUUGAAGCAUGAUCGUAAGGACAUGUGGAGCGCUUAGAAGUGAGAAUGCCGGUGUGAGUAGCGAAAGACGGGUGAGAAUCCCGUCCACCGAUUGACUAAGGUUUCCAGAGGAAGGCUCGUCCGCUCUGGGUUAGUCGGGUCCUAAGCUGAGGCCGACAGGCGUAGGCGAUGGAUAACAGGUUGAUAUUCCUGUACCACCUAUAAUCGUUUUAAUCGAUGGGGGGACGCAGUAGGAUAGGCGAAGCGUGCGAUUGGAUUGCACGUCUAAGCAGUAAGGCUGAGUAUUAGGCAAAUCCGGUACUCGUUAAGGCUGAGCUGUGAUGGGGAGAAGACAUUGUGUCUUCGAGUCGUUGAUUUCACACUGCCGAGAAAAGCCUCUAGAUAGAAAAUAGGUGCCCGUACCGCAAACCGACACAGGUAGUCAAGAUGAGAAUUCUAAGGUGAGCGAGCGAACUCUCGUUAAGGAACUCGGCAAAAUGACCCCGUAACUUCGGGAGAAGGGGUGCUCUUUAGGGUUAACGCCCAGAAGAGCCGCAGUGAAUAGGCCCAAGCGACUGUUUAUCAAAAACACAGGUCUCUGCUAAACCGUAAGGUGAUGUAUAGGGGCUGACGCCUGCCCGGUGCUGGAAGGUUAAGAGGAGUGGUUAGCUUCUGCGAAGCUACGAAUCGAAGCCCCAGUAAACGGCGGCCGUAACUAUAACGGUCCUAAGGUAGCGAAAUUCCUUGUCGGGUAAGUUCCGACCCGCACGAAAGGCGUAACGAUUUGGGCACUGUCUCAACGAGAGACUCGGUGAAAUCAUAGUACCUGUGAAGAUGCAGGUUACCCGCGACAGGACGGAAAGACCCCGUGGAGCUUUACUGUAGCCUGAUAUUGAAAUUCGGCACAGCUUGUACAGGAUAGGUAGGAGCCUUUGAAACGUGAGCGCUAGCUUACGUGGAGGCGCUGGUGGGAUACUACCCUAGCUGUGUUGGCUUUCUAACCCGCACCACUUAUCGUGGUGGGAGACAGUGUCAGGCGGGCAGUUUGACUGGGGCGGUCGCCUCCUAAAAGGUAACGGAGGCGCUCAAAGGUUCCCUCAGAAUGGUUGGAAAUCAUUCAUAGAGUGUAAAGGCAUAAGGGAGCUUGACUGCGAGACCUACAAGUCGAGCAGGGUCGAAAGACGGACUUAGUGAUCCGGUGGUUCCGCAUGGAAGGGCCAUCGCUCAACGGAUAAAAGCUACCCCGGGGAUAACAGGCUUAUCUCCCCCAAGAGUUCACAUCGACGGGGAGGUUUGGCACCUCGAUGUCGGCUCAUCGCAUCCUGGGGCUGUAGUCGGUCCCAAGGGUUGGGCUGUUCGCCCAUUAAAGCGGUACGCGAGCUGGGUUCAGAACGUCGUGAGACAGUUCGGUCCCUAUCCGUCGUGGGCGUAGGAAAUUUGAGAGGAGCUGUCCUUAGUACGAGAGGACCGGGAUGGACAUACCUCUGGUGUACCAGUUGUCGUGCCAACGGCAUAGCUGGGUAGCUAUGUGUGGACGGGAUAAGUGCUGAAAGCAUCUAAGCAUGAAGCCCCCCUCAAGAUGAGAUUUCCCAACUUCGGUUAUAAGAUCCCUCAAAGAUGAUGAGGUUAAUAGGUUCGAGGUGGAAGCAUGGUGACAUGUGGAGCUGACGAAUACUAAUCGAUCGAAGACUUAAUCAA
rnacentral:rRNA from 1 species